GACGAACGCUGGCGGCGUGCUUAACACAUGCAAGUCGAACGGAAAGGCCCUGCUUUUGUGGGGUGCUCGAGUGGCGAACGGGUGAGUAACACGUGAGUAACCUGCCCUUGACUUUGGGAUAACUUCAGGAAACUGGGGCUAAUACCGGAUAGGAGCUCCUGCUGCAUGGUGGGGGUUGGAAAGUUUCGGCGGUUGGGGAUGGACUCGCGGCUUAUCAGCUUGUUGGUGGGGUAGUGGCUUACCAAGGCUUUGACGGGUAGCCGGCCUGAGAGGGUGACCGGCCAAAUUGGGACUGAGAUACGGCCAGACUCCUACGGGAGGCAGCAGUGGGGAAUAUUGCACAAUGGGCGGAAGCCUGAUGCAGCAACGCCGCGUGCGGGAUGACGGCCUUCGGGUUGUAAACCGCUUUCGCCUGUGACGAAGCGUGAGUGACGGUAAUGGGUAAAGAAGCACCGGCUAACUACGUG
rnacentral:rRNA from 1 species